rnacentral:rRNA from 1 species
AACGAACGCUGGCGGCAUGCCUAACACAUGCAAGUCGAACGAGACCUUCGGGUCUAGUGGCGCACGGGUGCGUAACGCGUGGGAACCUGCCCUUAGGUUCGGAAUAACUCCCCGAAAGGGGUGCCAAUACCGGAUAAUGUCUACGGACCCAAGAUUUAUCGCCUUUGGAUGGGCCCGCGUUGGAUUAGCUAGUUGGUAGGGUAAAAGCCUACCAAGGCGACGAUCCAUAGCUGGUCUGUGAAGAUGAUCAGCCACACUGGGACUGAGACACGGCCCAGACUCCUACGGGAGGCAGCAGUGGGGAAUAUUGGACAAUGGGCGAAAGCCUGAUCCAGCAAUGCCGCGUGAGUGAUGAAGGCCUUAGGGUUGUAAAGCUCUUUUACCCGGGAUGAUAAUGACAGUACCGGGAGAAUAAGCGCCGGCUAACUCCGUG